AUGAACGCUGGCGGCGUGCCUAAUACAUGCAAGUCGAGCGAACGGACGAGAAGCUUGCUUCUCUGAUGUUAGCGGCGGACGGGUGAGUAACACGUGGAUAACCUACCUAUAAGACUGGGAUAACUUCGGGAAACCGGAGCUAAUACCGGAUAAUAUUUUGAACCGCAUGGUUCCAAAGUGAAAGACGGUCUUGCUGUCACUUAUAGAUGGAUCCGCGCUGCAUUAGCUAGUUGGUAAGGUAACGGCUUACCAAGGCAACGAUGCAUAGCCGACCUGAGAGGGUGAUCGGCCACACUGGAACUGAGACACGGUCCAGACUCCUAAGGGAGGCAGCAGUAGGGAAUCUUCCGCAAUGGGCGAAAGCCUGACGGAGCAACGCCGCGUGAGUGAUGAAGGUCUUCGGAUCGUAAAACUCUGUUAUUAGGGAAGAACAUAUGUGUAAGUAACUGUGCACAUCUUGACGGUACCUAAUCAGAAAGCCACGGCUAACUACGUG
rnacentral:rRNA from 1 species